UGGGGAAUUUUGGACAAUGGGGGCAACCCUGACCCAGCCAUGCCGCGUGAGUGAAGAAGGCCUUCGGGUUGUAAAGCUCUUUCAGCCGGGAAGAAAACGCAUGGGUUAAUACCCUGUGUGGAUGACGGUACCGGAAUAAGAAGCACCGGCUAACUACGUGCCAGCAGCCGCGGUAAUACGUAGGGUGCGAGCGUUAAUCGGAAUUACUGGGCGUAAAGCGUGCGCAGGCGGUUUUGUAAGACAGGCGUGAACUCCCCGGGCUCCACCUGGGAACUGCGUGUGUGACUGCAAGGCUAGAGUAUGGCAGAGAGGGGUGGAAUUCCACGUGUAGCAGUGAAAUGAGUAGGGAUGUGGAGGAACACCGAUGGCGGAGGCAGCCCCCUGGGCGAGUACUGACGCUCAUGCACGAAAGCGUGGGUAGCAAACA
rnacentral:rRNA from 1 species